AGAUCUGGCUGCCAGCUGGGCCUGAGGCCUCCCUUUGUCCGUCCUUCCUGUUCUUCCUCACCAGGUGUGUUUACGGAGAAGACACUCCGGGCCAGGCCAGCUCCUCCAGAGCACUAUUUCAGGCUGGGGAGAAUGCGGAUUUUUUUUUUGUUGUUGUUUUUUAAAGAAAAAUGAACAAGGAGCCUGGUUGGGGAUUGGGGUGGGAGGAAUAUUUGUCUUUUGUCCCACAAACGUGUGUGAUGCUCCAAAGGGCUGGAGAACCUCUCUCUUAAGUGGAUAUUUUUCCCCUCAAACGACUUCUCAGACAUGAUCCUCUCUGAGGUUGGUCCUGGGCUUCCAUACGUGAUUCAUGGAAGAGGUCUCAGCCCCAAGAGCCCCUGAGGGUACUGUCCACUCCCCCUGGAAACUUCCAGAACCUGACGUGGGGCUGAAGACAUAGAGGCUCUGAGAGUUACAUAAUUGAUUCUGACUUUGGCUGUUGGUCAACAGUGUCAUAAGGUAAAAUAAGGUAAAAAUCUAUGAUUUUUAUAUUUCUUUUUUUCUUUCUUUCUU
rnacentral:lncRNA from 1 species